rnacentral:rRNA from 1 species
CGGCGGACGGUGAGUAAUGUAUGGGAUCUGCCUGAUGGCGGGGAUAACUACUGGAAACGGUAGCUAAUACCGCAUAAUGUCUACGGACCAAAGCGGGGGACCUCCGGGCCUCGCGCCAUCAGAUGAACCCAUAUGGGAUUAGCUAGUAGGUAAGGUAACGGCUUACCUAGGCGACGAUCCCUAGCUGGUCUGAGAGGAUGACCAGCCACACUGGAACUGAGACACGGUCCAG